AAUCUUUAGCAUGCUCAGCAGUAAAAGGUACGAUUCAAUCUAUGAUAUUAUUUGUCUUUUGAAAAAUAUAUUAAAUAAAUAUUAUGAUGAAAAAAUAAAAAAGCUCUCGAUGUCGUGGAGAAACGGACGGGCUUUCAAAUGUAUUGCUUUACGGUGAUCCAUCAGCCAACCAAUAAUUAGUAGAUUCGAAACAGCUAUCAAUUACAGGGC
rnacentral:lncRNA from 1 species